rnacentral:misc_RNA from 1 species
UCCCCGUUCUCCUGGGCAGUCUCUCCAGAGUUCCCGGCAUGACCCGUUGGUAACUGAAGACAGGGGUUGCGUUCGUUGCGGGACUUAAUUUAAUACCUCGCGGCACGAGCUGACGACAGCCAUGCAGCACCUGAGCAGGAUGGUAUUGCUACCUCGUUGGGCUUUCACCCUUCUACUACCUGCAUGUCCAGCCUGGGUAAGGUUUUUCGCGUUGCAUCGAAUUAAACCACAUCAUCCACCGCUUGUGCGGGCCCCCGUCAAUUCCUUUGAGUUUUAAUCUUGCGACCGUACUCCCCAGGCGGAUGACUUCGCGCGUUAGCUGCGUUACUAAGGGAUUUAACUCCCCCAACAACUAGUCAUCAUCGUUUAGGGCGUGGACUAC